ACGCACGUUUUCACUCCUAGAUGAAUAGUUUAAAAUAUGAGAACAUCGUCGUAUGUUAUUUUUGUUGUCAUUUAAAAUGUACAGAUAUAUGUUUUAUGAACGUUGUAGCACGUCUGUUUUGGAUGACCACGUAUUUGAGGUUAUUAGCAAAAUGUUUAGCAAAACAAACCAAGGUUGUUAUAUAUUUUGUUCUAUUUGAGAACUAAAAAUUGUGUUUUACCUAACAGUUAUGUUUUAUCAGUGUUUUAAGUGACACUUGAACAGAAGAUUGGCUUGUCGCUAUAUUUUUAUUACCAUAUGAAAUUCAAGUUAAUAUUUAAUGUAUGUGUUUACAUUAUAGCCUCUUGGGGUCAUCGAUAUCAAAGUGCAGUUUUAAGGAACCGCAAACACAAGACCAACUUUUCUGUGUGCGAGGCUUAAAUUCCCCAAUCAGACCAACGCUGACGGGAGAGGACCAAUGCAGAGACAGAGAGGCUGCGAAUGUCCCGUUUUUGUUUAAUAUACACCUCCUUUCUGUUUCUGUCCCCGCCCCUCUGUCAACUGUGAAUUCAGCGCCACCGCAAUCAAUCAGUUAUUUGUCAGUCCUUGUCAAUCCGCCCUUGAUUUAUGUCCAGGGUUUGUCGCUGAUUACAAGCUUUGUGAGAUUGGGAAAGGAGGAAGGGAAAAACGGUCAUUCUGAAAAGAGUCAUUUGAUUUGUGGAAAUAAAUUGUUUUCGGUGUUAAGUCAGCUGAUCUCGCUAACAAUACCGGACUGGAGAACUGGCUGGGAUGACAGACUAUCUUUAAAUUAAGCAUAAUGAAGUCGGAUUCGCUUCAAACAAAUAACUCGACGUUCUGCGAUCAACUAAAUCUUGGCGGUAGCCUCCUAAAUCCAGUUCGCCUUCAUUAUCGAAGCACCGCUUUGACUACGUUGUAACCUACUCCAGGUGUAGGCUACUGGAUCGACCUCAUUUAAAGCAAAAUAAUACAGUGAAAUUACGUGGGACUUUAUGCCACUUUCGCGGUCGAAAAAGUUCGUGGGUUGUCUUUAUAUUAAGAGACCUUAUAGGCACUCUUGAGUUCUUUCUUUUUAACCAGUGCCGGAAGAGACAGUUUCAAUGCUGUAAGAGAAGAACGGCUGUUAGCCGCCCCACACUGUGCAUAUAAUAGUAUGCCAUUGCUUUUGUUUUCCCGCUGGCUUGGUGGCCUUAACAAUUUUCAGGAGCAACCAAAGGUCACUUGGAGAUAACGUCUGACACAUGUGGAUUGUGGAAAGAGUUUAGGACUCUGGGAAAGUUCCCGACCUAUUUUAUUUUUAUUGUAUCGUUGGCAUUCCUAAUCGUCUUUUCCUUAUAAAACCUAGAAUGAUGGACUGAGUUUUUUUUUCAGAAUUUGUUGCAUUUUGGAGCCAAUUUUUAAUUUUCCACAUUCAUGGUUUAUUUUUAAUCCUAAACGUUUACUGUCUGCAGGAAAAUAAAAAAUAUGUCACUGGUUCAUUUGGAAUUCAUUGCAAGUUACGAAACAGUGUCUUAUAGGACCGGGGAACUUUGGUUUUCACGUUGUGUUUAUUCUGUCUCUUCUGCUAAAGUUAAGUUUAAUCAUUGCUUGUAGGGUGCAGUCACCUCUGGGACGAUGCGAAUUUUCUAAGGUAGCCUAAAUCAAAAUCGCAGCAAAAGCCUGUUAAUGUGCUCACGGGAGGUGCUGACCGUCUUCUGUGGGCUCUUUUGGGGAUAAAACACUUCGAUAACGCCGCUAUUAACGGAAUGCCGGAAAGUCGUAGUUACUGAAGCUACUGCACAAACCCGGAUUCACUGCACAGUGGGGAAAAACCCUCCGGCUCUUUUGCGAUUACGUAUUUGCCUUCGACAUCAUAACAGCUCCAUAACAGGUGAACAGAAAAUUAAUUAACUUGAUUCAUUUUUUUAAAUAAUUAAUGAGCGAUUUUUGUUAUAUUUAAUAUAUAUAUAUAAAAUAAGUUAUUUUAAAUAUAAUGGGAAAAUGAGGAAUGAAAGGAUAAAAAGUGGUCUUCCAGACCUCUGAGAACAGAAGUUUAAAUAUGCCCAGAACUGUUCGCCGUUGAGGUGGUUAAUCAGUAUUGAGGCUUCGGGGCAAUGGGCAGGUUUUCAAAGCGGUAUUCCUUUCAUCUGAAGCUGGAUGGAGGCGCUCAAUUAAAAGUCUAUCAGUUUGUCGCCACGGAGAGCAAGAAAACCUGGAGUGGACAUCUUCUGAAAUAAAUAAAGAAAAAUUUUCCUUCGAAA